rnacentral:rRNA from 1 species
UACGAAGGGGGCUAGCGUUGCUCGGAAUCACUGGGCGUAAAGCGCACGUAGGCGGACUCUUAAGUCAGGGGUGAAAUCCUGGAGCUCAACUCCAGAACUGCCUUUGAUACUGGGAGUCUUGAGUUCGGGAGAGGUGAGUGGAACUGCGAGUGUAGAGGUGAAAUUCGUAGAUAUUCGCAAGAACACCAGUGGCGAAGGCGGCUCACUGGCCCGAUACUGACGCUGAGGUGCGAAAGCGUGGGGAGCAAACAGGAUUAGAAACCCCCGUAGUCC